UAGGGAGACCAAACCUCAAGAAAGAAACACUUAAGGCAAGCAGAUUCAAACUUGCUUAACCUUGGGAAUUAUAUUGAUAUUCUUUCUUUAGGUCAUCCCAAGGUCGUUCGAGGUUAUGAUAUCAAGGCUUUCAAACUAUUUGGGUUUGGUAAACGCGAAAUUCAGCAAGCAAAAAGCUUCACAGUUCAGCCUUGCCUAUUAGCCUCACCCCUACCCAUGGGCUAUUAGCUCAGGUGGUUAGAGCGCACCCCUGAUAAGGGUGAGGUCCCUGGUUCGAGUCCAGGAUGGCCCACCUUAGAGAUUUAAGAUUUUAGAUUUGAUAUCUUUUUUAGUAAAGGCAACAGAACUAGAAUCUAAGCCGAAGCUGGGGGUAUAGCUCAGUUGGUAGAGCGCUGCCUUUGCAAGGCAGAUGUCAGCGGUUCGAGUCCGCUUACCUCCACUGACACACAGAAAAACCAUCGUCUUAGAAAGGAUAUUCAGCACCUCAUCUAACUUAUUUAGAGAGCCUGCUGGAAUACAUCCAGCCAGAACCUUGAAAACUGCAUAGCAACUAGAAAGGUAGAACCUUGUCAUGCAUAGCGAACUGCAAGUACUAGAGUAAUAUCUAGUCGAGUAGCUAGCCAUGCAUCUGAGACAAGACUAUCACAGACACUAGCGUAAAAAGAAUGAA
rnacentral:tRNA from 1 species